rnacentral:rRNA from 1 species
GACGAACGCUGGCGGCGUGCCUAAUACAUGCAAGUCGAGCGCAGGAAACUGACGGAACUCUUCGGAGGGAAGGCAGUGGAAUGAGCGGCGGACGGGUGAGUAACACGUAAGGAACCUGCCUCAAGGAUUGGGAUAACUCCGAGAAAUCGGAGCUAAUACCGGAUAGUUCAACGGACCGCAUGGUCCGCUGAUGAAAGGCGCUCCGGCGUCACCUUGAGAUGGCCUUGCGGUGCAUUAGCUAGUUGGUGGGGUAACGGCCCACCAAGGCGACGAGGCAUAGCCGACCUGAGGAGGUGAUGGGCCACACGGGGACUGAGACACGGCCCAGACUCCUACGGGAGGCAGCAGUAGGGAAUCUUCAACAAUGGACGAAAGUCUGAUGGAGCAACGCCGCGUGAGUGAUGAAGGUUUUCGGAUCGUAAAACUCUGUUGUAAGGGAAGAACGCGUACGAGAGGAAAUGCUCGUACCUUGACGGUACCUUACGAGAAAGCCACGGCUAACUACGUGCCAGCCGCCGCAGUAA